UCAUGAUAAGAAUUUCAUGUCUUUUGUAUUAAAGAAUUAAAUGGAUGAAAUAUGAAGUUUUAUUAAAAGAAAAAGGGGUGAAAAGAACAAAGUUUUGUCCAUCUUUGUUCAUCAUAGCUGAAAGUUAGAGAAGAGAAAGGAGAGGAGAAAGCUCUUGAGUAUUUGGUCAUUAGGAGGAGGAAAAUUGAAGGAAAUCCCCAACCAUAGUGGGCUUGGAGCUGUGAGGGAAUUUGGAGUGACCACCCGUUCUGAAAGUUUGAUUUUCUUCUGGUGAACUGGACAUCCUUUUAUUUACGUUUGAAGUUUUGGGUUUUUAAAUGUAAUAAGGCCGCUUAAUUAUUUUUGAUGGUUUUAAUAUGUAUUAGGUAAUACUUAUUUUAA